AACGAACGCUGGCGGCAGGCUUAACACAUGCAAGUCGAGCGCCCCGCAAGGGGAGCAGCAGACGGGUGAGUAACGCGUGGGAAUCUACCCAUCUCUACGGAAUAACGCAUGGAAACGUGUGCUAAUACCGUAUACGUCCUUCGGGAGAAAGAUUUAUCGGAGAUGGAUGAGCCCGCGUUGGAUUAGCUAGUUGGUGGGGUAAAGGCCUACCAAGGCGACGAUCCAUAGCUGGGCUGAGAGGAUGAUCAGCCACACUGGGACUGAGACACGGCCCAGACUCCUACGGGAGGCAGCAGUGUGGAAUAUUGGACAAUGGGCGCAAGCCUGAUCCAGCCAUGCCGCGUGAGUGAUGAAGGCCCUAGGGUUGUAAAGCUCUUUCACCGGUGAAGAUAAUGACGGUAACCGGAGAAGAAGCCCCGGCUAACUUCGUGCCAGCAGCCGCGGUAACAC
rnacentral:rRNA from 1 species